GAGGGAGAAAGGUAAAGAGACACAAGGGAGAGCGAUUGGAGAGAAGAGAAAGGGACUGAGAAGUUCCCGAUGCCAGGCCAAACACCACCACUGAAUCUGACUUUGAGGACCUGGUUUCCAGAUUUAUUAUCCUGGUAACAGAACUGGAGACAUAGAGUCAGAUGUUCCUCCAUCCACCCAGGGACAGCAAUGUAGACAUAAUUGAUCCUGCCUUCACGCCCUUUUUCUCUUCUAAGGGCCCCCUGAUUUUAUGUAAAAUGUAGAUUUCCUGGGUCUCCCAAGAAUGUAACCAUUUUGCCUCAUCAGCCCCCCACCCCCACCUUUCCCUUUCUCUCCCUAUGCCUUUAACUGCGGAAACUUCCAACUUCCCUUCAGCAAAACAGCCACAGGUCUGCCCACGGUUCAUGUUUUUACAGGGCACCUCCUCAAUUUGGCUCA